rnacentral:misc_RNA from 1 species
GACAAAAUCUGCAGGUUCAGCCACCACCAAGAACCGCCCAUCUGAUGAGUAACGGAUUGAUCGGACAGCACCCAUGUUUCCUUUCAGCACUGCUGUUGGCGAUGACAGGUUUCUCAUGUCCCAAAUUCGACAGGUUUUGUCUUGAUUCCCAGUGGCAAAGGUACGGCCAUCAGGGUGCCAGGCAGACGCGAAAGAAUAGUCUAGAUGACCAACAAUUGAGCCAAUCGUCUUUCCGUUUUGAGAAUCAACAAGUAAGCCAGUGAGAUCAUCUCCAACAACAGUAAGAAUCUUGCUAUCUGGGCUCAUUGAAGUAUGGUUCACUGGCCAAGGGAACCGGAAGUAGUUCAUAAGCUGAAAUUUCUCCAUGUCAUACUCUCUCACACCACAAUCAUUAUUAGCAGCCAUAAAAUGAAGCCCACCGCUCAAGCUAUCAUAUAUCUCGACAGCAUUUGUAAUAGCAUUUUCCUCAUAUGUGGUCCUUGUGCAGAAGCUUAUACCUGGCUUGUCCAAACACUUACAAACUAGUUCCCCUUGAAAGCCCCCUGCGACAACAAAGCGAUUCUUCACUGCCAUUGUGCUGAUCUGUGUUUGUGUUAGACCUUCUAACAAACUUCCUGCAUGUUUCUCUGACGGUGCUAUAUGUCCAGAGAAAUCAAGGACUUCGGUUAAGUUGUUGGAAAUGGAUGACCAGUGCAUAAGUGAGUAGUUCGAUAUAAGAUACACAUCAUGUUUUGAAGUAGCCCAAACCAAGUUCCUUAGCUGAAAAUGAAGUAUGGUAGGCUUUACUAAUCUUGUAUUGUAAAAGAAGUCAUAGAAGUUGCCACCUUUCUUCACCUGUUUGCAUUCCUUAUCUACAGCAUCUCCAGACAAAGGUAUGUUCUCAUAAUUCCUGUAUUGUUCGAGCCUUGUCAAUCUGUAACUUUGCCUUGUUAUAUUCAAUCUCUCCCACGGGAUACCUUGUAUGUCUUUGCCUUUCCUUGCUUGUGCAGCGGAUGUAUCUGUCCCUUCUGUUACCAUCUCAAAGUCAUCAAGGUUUGGGUCCUCAUUGUAGAAUACCUCUUCAAAUUCAUCCAUCGUAUCUGCCAUCUCUUCAUCAAGAUUCAUGUAACCCAAUCUCUCAGCCCUUUGGUAAGACAUGCUUUCCCACACCUCAGAAUUCACCUUCUCUGGCUCAGAAAAUGAACCAGUU